UUUUAUAAGAAUAUGAUGUUGGUUCAGAUUAAGCGCUAAAUAAGGACAUGACACAUGCGAAUCAUACGUUUAUUAUUGAUAAGAUAAUAAAUAUGUGGUGUAAACGUGAGUAAUUUUAUUAGGAAUUAAUGAACUAUAGAAUAAGCUAAAUACUUAAUAUAUUAUUAUAUAAAAAUAAUUUAUAUAAUAAAAAGGAUAUAUAUAUAAUAUAUAUUUAUCUAUAGUCAAGCCAAUAAUGGUUUAGGUAGUAGGUUUAUUAAGAGUUAAACCUAGCCAACGAUCCAUAAUCGAUAAUGAAAGUUAGAACGAUCACGUUGACUCUGAAAUAUAGUCAAUAUCUAUAAGAUACAGCAGUGAGGAAUAUUGGACAAUGAUCGAAAGAUUGAUCCAGUUACUUAUUAGGAUGAUAUAUAAAAAUAUUUUUAUUUUAUUUAUAAAUAUUUAAUAUUUAUAAUAAUAAUAAUAUAUAUAUAUAUAAAUUGAUUAAAAAUAAAAUCCAUAAAUAAUUAAAAUAAUGAUAUUAAUUACCAUAUAUAUUUUAUAUGGAUAUAUAUAUUAAUAAUAAAAUUAAUUUAUUAUUAUUAAUAAUAUAUUUUAAUAGUCCUGACUAAUAUUUGUGCCAGCAGUCGCGGUAACACAAAGAGGGCGAGCGUUAAUCAUAAUGGUUUAAAGGAUCCGUAGAAUGAAUUAUAUAUUAUAAUUUAGAGUUAAUAAAAUUAAUUAAAGAAUUAUAAUAGUAAAGAUGAAAUAAUAAUAAUAAUUAUAAGACUAAUAUAUGUGAAAAUAUUAAUUAAAUAUUAACUGACAUUGAGGGAUUAAAACUAGAGUAGCGAAACGGAUUCGAUACCCGUGUAGUUCUAGUAGUAAACUAUGAAUACAAUUAUUUAUAAUAUAUAUUAUAUAUAAAUAAUAAAUGAAAAUGAAAGUAUUCCACCUGAAGAGUACGUUAGCAAUAAUGAAACUCAAAACAAUAGACGGUUACAGACUUAAGCAGUGGAGCAUGUUAUUUAAUUCGAUAAUCCACGACUAACCUUACCAUAUUUUGAAUAUUAUAAUAAUUAUUAUAAUUAUUAUAUUACAGGCGUUACAUUGUUGUCUUUAGUUCGUGCUGCAAAGUUUUAGAUUAAGUUCAUAAACGAACAAAACUCCAUAUAUAUAAUUUUAAUUAUAUAUAAUUUUAUAUUAUUUAUUAAUAUAAAGAAAGGAAUUAAGACAAAUCAUAAUGAUCCUUAUAAUAUGGGUAAUAGACGUGCUAUAAUAAAAUGAUAAUAAAAUUAUAUAAAAUAUAUUUAAUUAUAUUUAAUUAAUAAUAUAAAACAUUUUAAUUUUUAAUAUAUUUUUUUAUUAUAUAUUAAUAUGAAUUAUAAUCUGAAAUUCGAUUAUAUGAAAAAAGAAUUGCUAGUAAUACGUAAAUUAGUAUGUUACGGUGAAUAUUCUAACUGUUUCGCACUAAUCACUCAUCACGCGUUGAAACAUAUUAUUAUCUUAUUAUUUAUAUAAUAUUUUUUAAUAAAUAUUAAUAAUUAUUAAUUUAUAUUUAUUUAUAUCAGAAAUAAUAUGAAUUAAUGCGAAGUUGAAAUACAGUUACCGUAGGGGAACCUGCGGUGGGCUUAUAAAUAUC
rnacentral:ncRNA from 1 species